GCCUAAUAUGCGUUGUUGACCUCACUGUCUGAUUAGAGACCUACCUCUCUCUCUCUCUCUCUCUCGCUAUCCCAGCCUUAAGAAUCACCGGUGAUCUCCAAUUUCGACCGGUGAUUCUUAAGCAUCUCUCACUCUCUGUGUUCUCACUCUCAAAUUCUACACCAUAGCACUGUGAAGAAACACUAUAUCUCUCUAUAGAAAGCUUAGAGAUCCGAGAGGCAAUCUGGAAUUCUGAGUGUAUGUUUUCUAAUUUCUGAUUACAGAGUGUUGAACACAAAUCUGCGACAUGCAAUCAUCUCAUAUUGCAAAAUGAAGCAGAGUUUAGGGUUACAGAGAAUCGUUUCGAUUAGGUCUGAUUGUGGACCGAGAUCUAUCAACAAAACACCGAUAACAUCAGUAGACUGAUUGUGGACCGAGAUCUAUCAACAAAACAUCGAUAACAUCAGUAGAAGAGGCAAUCGUCGAUUUGAUCUCAAAUCGGAAUACUUUUUGAGCUAAGUAUUCAAACUACUAUUGAUUUUUGUGUUCUAUAUCUAUUUUUAUUGAUUGCGCCGAUUAUUAUCGUAUUUAAAUCCAAACAUAGGGCUUAGGGUUAGUGUUAAUAUCAUUUUUCUUAUUGUUAUUGCAGAUUAAUUAAUUGGGAGGAGACUGUUCUUUGCACACAGGAUGUGGUCAGACUCGUAGAAAUACAUUUGAUUUACAGAUAAGUUGUUUCUAAUCCUAAAAGCCUAGGUUUAGCUAUCAUAUGAAUUAUUAUAUGCAUAAAGUUAACUGUAAUCAAUGUAGUUAAGUGUUUAGUUUCGGGAAAUACCUUGUUUUGAUGACCAUGCUUCCUCUUUGCUCCAAUGGUGCAUGAAGAUGUGAUCUUCCUCAUGGUUUGUGGUUUUGGUAGGAUGAGUUCUUUGUCUUAAGAAGAAUCAGAAGAAUAGUGGUAAAUUCAAUAAUGUUGUGAAGGUUGUCUUAUUUAUUGAGUCAUUUCUUUGGCUUGUCUUGAAAAAAACAUCUAAUUGACUUAAUUAUUCAUGUUUUCAAGCACAUAGAGAAGCUGAAAAGUUUAUGUGUGCUGUUAACCUUUCCCAUUAUUUAACCACAAAAUAUCUUGUGGUUAAUCAUAAAUAGUUGACACCUAGCAUAGAUUGUAAUAUAUACAUUUUUCUGAUUUUUCUGAUUAAUAUGUUUUUAUAUAUUUUGGGAGUGAACAUUCUGGUAUACCUUAAAUCUAUGGGCCACAUACUUUGCCUAACAAAUCUGUUUGAUAUUACAGGAACAACUAUAACGCACGGGAAAGCUCUGUUAGUGAAAAUUUGUGUAUUUCAAAAUUGGAAGUUCAGCACUGAUAGAAUUAUGUUAAUGUGAACUCAUUGACAUCAUAUUACAUUGUAUUAUUUUGAAUAAAUCAGGUAUCCAUAGUGGUACACAAAUCAGUAUACACACUUGGAAACAUAUACUCAGAGGAUUCAAACAAUCUGUCUUACCAGAUGGAAAACUACAUGCUUGUAGUGUAGGCAAUUAAGUGGACUGCUUUGCUUCACAGAAACAUAUUGAGACGGCAAAUUUCUUUCUACAGAACUUUACUUCUUCGCAGUAUGAAGUGAUUGAUACCACUUUACCUGAUUCGACCUCUUUAUAUAGAGGUUGAAUUUAUUCAGGAUUUUUAUAGAACAAUGAAGAGGCAAGCUUUGGAACAAUCACUUUUUGAAACAAUAAGACCUUUCAUAAAGGAUGUCUUCUAUUAGGUUUCAAUCACUUCAAAUUUGUAAUAAAGUAUGCAACGCUUCGAUUUUCCAGAUUUAUUUCUAUUUUUUUUUUUUGAAA